rnacentral:lncRNA from 1 species
CACUUGGCUGCUUACCUCUUGGUAAAAAUAGAGCAGGCUCCUCACUCCCGCUCUUUUCUUCCCCGUCCAGGGCAAGGGACAAGGAGGACCAGGUGAGGCUGCUCCCCCUGAGGCUGUUGGAGGAAAUGUGGUGUCACAGACCCUGCUGGCCUGCCGAGCAGUUGAACUGGGUGGGGUUGUGAUUAGGGGCCCUGAAGCUGAACUUUGAGAGGAACCUCAUGUGCAUACAUAGGGAUUUGGGUGCAAGCGGCACAGACUUGGAGCUGUGGACAAACAUGAGUUUGUGGGCAUCUGGCUUGGCCAGGGUCCAAGACCCUGGAGCCAGAGCCACAGGACUGGGAACUGGCUGAGCAGACCUUUCUCUGACAGUCCCCAAGCAAGGCCACACAUUCAGCAGCUGGUGAUAAGGCAGGAUCUGCAGCCACAGGGCAUGUAUAUAUCAAGGGACUAUUAUUUGUGCAUAAAAAUCAGGUCGACCUGUGGGAUGAGGCCCUUGGGCAGACACAGGUGUGGCUUCUUUGUGGGCUCUCCAGGAUGUGGAUUUCAUGGUGGGCUUUUGUUUUGUUUUGGUACCAGGGAUUAAACCCAGGAGCACUUAACCACUGAGCCACAUCCCUAGCUCCUUUUUAUAUUUUAUUUAGAGAUAGGGUCUCACUGAGUUGCUUGGGACCUUGCUAAAGUUGCUGGUUUUGAACUUGCAAUCCUCUUGCCUCAGCCUCCCAAGCUGCCGGGAUUUCAGGCACGCACCACCACUCCUGGCUCAUGGUGUUUGAUCCAUGGAGCUAAGGCACAAAGCCCUCCUGCCCCCCAGCCUUCAGACCUAUAUGAGACAUGCCCAUUUCCCUGGCUAAGGCCUGGGGAAGCACUCUUUGACAGGGACCUCCCUAUGCACAAAUUGAGUAUGAACUGAGACGGUCACAUGGCCACUCCCCUGAUCCACCAUGGGGUGUGGCACACGGC